GCAAACACAUGCUUUUAGCAUACCUGAUACUUACUGUGAUGGAAACAGAGUUGGUAAGAAAUACUGAUAUCAGCAAGCGCCUCCUUCUCCUCUAAUAAAGUGAGGCCAAAAAUGGUUUUAGAGACCACUUGAAGAAAGCUUAUGUAGGAUUCUCCCAGAACAGGGGGGAUGGGAUGGACUGGCUUAGUAGAGUGAUGUCAGUGGAUUGGGAAAGUCUGCAAGGCUGAGGGAGGCAUAGCAUUUGGUGAGUUCAGUGGAGUGAUUUGUGCUUAGCUCGUUAAAGCUCCUAGAGGAGUAUUAGGCAAGCUUAACCUUGAAGCAGCAAAGCAGCCCUCUACCUAAAAACCUGGAAUGGGACAACUGAUGAGAGGCCCCAGAAUUGGCCAUCAGUGUCCCUCUCUGUUGUGACCUGUGCCCUGACCUUGCAUCUCUUAAGUUGUCACGGAGGAGGGAGAUACCCACAUUGCCUUCCUUGUAAUGUAGUGUAGUAGGGAAGUUCAGAGGAAUUCCAAGGCAUGAAUCUUGUCUAGUAGUUAAAGAAGACAAGGCCGGGAGGCAUAACCACUCAUUAUUGCAAAGUGAGGGAUCUUUUUCUUUAAGAUGGAAAUAGCUUUACUGAUUUUUAUGAUUAUAAAUAUAACACAUGUGCACCGCACUUGAUCUUAGCCAAAAGGCAGAGAAGUGAUAACACAUGUGCACUGCAAAAAUGCAAAAAAUAAGGAAAGAAUGAACUCUAUGAUUUCAGUGGGAUUAGUCCAUAAAUGCUGUUUGAUACCUGAUUUUUUCACCAAUAGUAUAUUUUAGACAUCUUUCCAUGAUAAUGAAUAUCAUUAUGGCCACCGGGUAUGUCUUUGUGUGAAUGUCAAACUUAAUGCUGUCAAAAAUUCACACUGCUUACAGUAUAGUUUCUAAAUGAAGAAAUAGUGAUACAAUAAACAAAGAACUUUGCACAUGGAUUCAAUUAUUUUCUUAGGCUAUAUUUCUAGAAUUAAAACUGUUAAGUCAAUUAUUACAUACAUUUUUAAAAUCUUGAUGUAUACUACCAAGUUGCCUUCCAGAAAUUUAGUACCAAUUUGUAUCCUUAGCAGCAGACUAUUGAUAGUAUGUAUUUUCUACAUCCUUAUCAAUUCCACACAUUGUCAUUUUUAACUCAACAAAUUUUAUUCCUUACUCAAAAUUUUAAGAAACUUCCAAUCCCUAAAUACCAAUAAUAUGAUACUUUUUUAAAGUUUAUGAAAAAAUAAUAGUAGUCUAUCAAAUAUUCAUCAAUACACUUUUUUUUUUUUUUUUUGAGGAGACAUGGUCUUGCUCUGUCACCCAGGCUGAAGUGCAGUGGUGCAAUCAUAGCCCACUGCACCCAGCCAAGAAAACUAUAUUUUUAAAUAGUCACUCCUGCUUCCCUCUUCUCCCAAUCUCUGGCAACUGCAAAUCUACUCUCUUUCUGUAUGCAAAUCUACUCUCUAUCUACUUUUUUAAAUUUUAAUUUAACCUUAUUUAUUUUUGAGACAGGGUCUUGCUCUGUCUCCCAGGCUGAAUGGAGUCCAGUAGCAUAAUCAUGGCUCACUGCAACCUCAACCUCUCAGGCUCCAGCAAUCCUCCCACCUCAGCCUCCUGAGUAGCUGGGACUACAGGCUCACUCUACCCUGCCCAGUUAAUUUUUUAUUUUUUGUAGAGACGAGUUCUCACUAUGUUGCCUGGGCAGGUCUUGAACUCCUGGGCUCAAGCAAUCCUCCCACCUCAGCUUCCCAAGCAGGGAGGCUGUGUGUCACCAAGAUUAGUGAGAUUCUUCUUAGCAAGAUCAAAGUUUUGCAAAAUGUCAUUAGAAAAUCUGGACCCAAGAUAGGGCUAUGGUAGGAGAGAAGAUCUUUGCACUCUU
rnacentral:lncRNA from 10 species